AUUGAACGCUGGCGGCAGGCCUAACACAUGCAAGUCGGACGGUAGCACAGAGAGCUUGCUCUCGGGUGACGAGUGGCGGACGGGUGAGUAAUGUCUGGGGAUCUGCCCGAUAGAGGGGGAUAACCACUGGAAACGGUGGCUAAUACCGCAUAACGUCGCAAGACCAAAGAGGGGGACCUUCGGGCCUCUCACUAUCGGAUGAACCCAGAUGGGAUUAGCUAGUAGGCGGGGUAAUGGCCCACCUAGGCGACGAUCCCUAGCUGGUCUGAGAGGAUGACCAGCCACACUGGAACUGAGACACGGUCCAGACUCCUACGGGAGGCAGCAGUGGGGAAUAUUGCACAAUGGGCGCAAGCCUGAUGCAGCCAUGCCGCGUGUAUGAAGAAGGCCCUCGAUGCGGUUGUAAAGUACUUUCAGCGGGAAGGCGGUGAGGUUAAUAACCUUGCCGAUUGACGUUACCCGCAGAAGAAGCACCGGGUAACUCCGUGCCAGCAGCCGCGGUAAUACGGAGGGUGCAAGCGUUAAUCGGAAUUACUGGGCGUAAAGCGCACGCAGGCGGUCUGAUUAAGUCAGAUGUGAAUCCCCGGGCUUAACCUGGGACUGCAUUUGAAACUGGCAGGCUUGAGUCUCGUUAGAGGGGGGUAGAAUUCCAGGUGUAGCGUGAAAUGCGUAGAGAUCUGGAGGAAUACCGGUGGCGAACGGCGGCCCCCUGGACGAAGAUGACGCUCAGGUGCGAAAGCGUGGGGAGCAAACAGGAUUAGAUACCCU
rnacentral:rRNA from 1 species